rnacentral:rRNA from 1 species
GACGAACCGUGCAAACGUUAUUCGGAAUCACUGGGCUUAAAGGGCGCGUAGGCGGGUCCUCAAGUCGGGGGUGAAAUCCCACGGCUCAACCGUGGAAGUGCCUUUGAUACUGGGGGUCUCGAGGGAGGUAGGGGCGUGCGGAACUUCCGGUGGAGCGGUGAAAUGCGUAGAUAUCGGGAAGAAUACCCGUGGCGAAGGCGGCCAGCUGGGCCAGAUCCGACGCUGAGGCGCGAAAGCGUGGGGAGCAAACAGG